GAUGAAGAACGUAGCGAAAUGCGAUAAGUAAUGUGAAUUGCAGAAUUCAGUGAAUCAUCAAAUCUUUGAACGCAUCUUGCGCUCCUUGGUAUUCCGAGGAGCAUGCCUGUUUGAGUGUCAUUCAACUUGUCAACCACUUUGGAAGUUGUUUUUCAAUGUGGCUUGGAUGUGGGGGAUUUGCAGGCUUUUCUUCUGCCUGCUCUCCUGAAAUGCAUUAGUGGUGUCUUAAAGGGUUCACAACCACAGGUGUGAUAAAUUAUCUAUGCCUUUGGUAUGAACAGAACUGUGCUGCUUCUAAAUGAAAUGAGCCCUUGCAGGCUCUUUCUUUUGAUGAAUUUGACCUCAAAUCAGGUAGGACUACCCGCUGAACUUAAGCAUAUCAAUAAGCGGAGGA
rnacentral:misc_RNA from 1 species